rnacentral:rRNA from 1 species
UGCUGCUUUGCUGACGAGUGGCGGACGGGUGAGUAAUGUCUGGGAAACUGCCUGAUGGAGGGGGAUAACUACUGGAAACGGUAGCUAAUACCGCAUAACGUCGCAAGACCAAAGAGGGGGACCUUCGGGCCUCUUGCCAUCGGAUGUGCCCAGAUGGGAUUAGCUAGUAGGUGGGGUAACGGCUCACCUAGGCGACGAUCCCUAGCUGGUCUGAGAGGAUGACCAGCCACACUGGAACUGAGACACGGUCCAGACUCCUACGGGAGGCAGCAGUGGGGAAUAUUGCACAAUGGGCGCAAGCCUGAUGCAGCCAUGCCGCGUGUAUGAAGAAGGCCUUCGGGUUGUAAAGUACUUUCAGCGGGCAGGAAGGGAGUAAAGUUAAUACCUUUGCUCAUUGACGUUACCCGCACAAGAAGCACCGGCUAACUCCGUGCCAGCGGCCGCGGUAAUACGGAUGCUGCAAACGUUAAUCGUUAAUUACUGGGCGUAAAGCGCACGCAGUGCGGUUUGUUAAGUCAGAUGUGAAAUCCCCGGGCUCAACCUGAGAACUGCAUCUGAUACU